CGGAUGAUUAGCAUGCAACAGCUCAAAUAUAUAUUUGACAUAAUUUAGCUAUUCAGGAAUUACUAUGGUUCCGACUUCUUUUAGUCUCAUUGCAUAUUCCUCCAAUUUCAGUCAAACUCUAGCUAGGUUCGGAUAAAUGAGCAUGCUUGUGGACUUAGAAAUCCAGGUACAUAGAAUCAGUAAUUUUAGUCAUACUUAGUGCUAAGCCCGGUCCGGCCUGUCCCACGAGCAGGUCUAGCGGUGACCAUUGCCAAAGUGUCUUCAUGAGAUAUUCCCAAAUUUCCUUUGCUUUAGAUUUUAAUUUGAUGAUGAUUCCCAAAAAAAACAAAGGUAUCCAAAUGAUUCUUUCAUUCUUCCCGACAUAUAGUCCAUGCAUACCCACCAACAUACACUAUAAAUUGGAGAAAACUGUCUGUAUAUUCAUAGAGAGACAGUCUGUUGUUAUUAAUAUUAGAAUUCAUGAAUAAUAUAACUAUCCAUAAUAUUCGUAAGUCGUGCAUUAUCUUUGCUUUUAGGAAACGCUUGCUAUCUUUAGACUUGCACUUGGUCCGCGGGUAAAACAGCGCGUCAGAAAGUUUACGACAAACUAGCACUUUCAACA
rnacentral:lncRNA from 1 species